UGGGGAAUAUUGGACAAUGGGCGAAAGCCUGAUCCAGCCAUGCCGCGUGUGUGAAGAAGGUCUUCGGAUUGUAAAGCACUUUAAGUUGGGAGGAAGGGCAUUAACCUAAUACGUUAGUGUUUUGACGUUACCGACAGAAUAAGCACCGGCUAACUCUGUGCCAGCAGCCGCGGUAAUACAGAGGGUGCAAGCGUUAAUCGGAAUUACUGGGCGUAAAGCGCGCGUAGGUGGUUUGUUAAGUUGGAUGUGAAAUCCCCGGGCUCAACCUGGGAACUUCAUUCAAAACUGACUGACUAGAGUAUGGUAGAGGGUGGUGGAAUUUCCUGUGUAGCGGUGAAAUGCGUAGAUAUAGGAAGGAACACCAGUGGCGAAGGCGACCACCUGGACUAAUACUGACACUGAGGUGCGAAAGCGUGGGGAGCAAACA
rnacentral:rRNA from 1 species